UCCACUCCUGACAUCAUGUGUUACUACGGAAGCUACUAUGGAGGCCUAGGCUAUGGCUAUGGUGGCCUAGGAUGUGGUUAUGGCUGUGGCUAUGGCUAUGGCUGUGGCUGUGGUGGCUAUGGCUAUGGCUGCUGCCGUCCACUGUGCUGUAGAAGAUACUGGUCCUGUGGCUUCUACUGAGGACAUUAUGCAGUUACCCAGCCUUUCUAUCCAGAAGGUCUUCCAAGGCUUUCCGAACAGGAGCUCAAUAAUGUCUUCAAAGAUUUGAACUUUAGGACAAAACAUUCUGUUUUAUAUUAUCUUCAUAAUACUCUGUAAAAUGAUUGUAAUUUGGCUCUCAACCUAUAUUUUAAUAGGUGUAUCAUCAAGUAACUAAAUGAAUAAACUGUACUAAAUAA
rnacentral:lncRNA from 1 species